rnacentral:rRNA from 1 species
CCCUUAGAUGUUCUGGGCCGCACGCGCGCUACACUGAUGCAUUCAACGAGUUUCUUCCUGGUCCGAGAGGAAUGGGUAACCUUUUGAAAGUGCAUCGCGAUAGGGAUAGACUAUUGCAAUUAUUGGUCUUCAACGAGGAAUUCCUAGUAGACGUAGUUCAUCAGACUGCAUCGAUUACGUCCCUGCCCUUUGUACACACCGACCGUCGCUCCUACCGAUUGAAUGCUCAGGUGAGCCAUUCGGACUUUCAUCAUGCUGGUUUCCAGUUUUGAUGAAGGAAAGUCUUGCGAACCUUAUCACUUAGAGGAAGGAGAAGUCGUAACA